CCUACGGGAGGCAGCAGUGAGGAAUAUUGGUCAAUGGACGGAAGUCUGAACCAGCCAUGCCGCGUGCAGGAAGACGGCUCUAUGAGUUGUAAACUGCUUUUGUACAAGGGUAAACCUGAAUACGUGUAUUCAGCUGAAAGUACUGUACGAAUAAGGAUAGGCUAACUCCGUGCCAGCAGCCGCGGUAAUACGGAGGAGCCAAGCGUUAACCGGAUUUAUGGGGGUUAAAGGGUGCGUAGGCGGAUUGAUAAGUUAGAGGUGAAAUGUCCGAGCUUAACUCGGGAACUGCCUCUAAUACUGUUGAUCUAGAGAGUAGUUGCGGUAGGCGGAAUGUAUGGUGUAGCGGUGAAAUGCUUAGAGAUCAUACAGAACACCGAUUGCGAAGGCAGCUUACCAAGCUACUUCUGACGUUGAGGCACGAAAGCGUGGGGAGCAAACAGGAUUAGAUACCCCAGUAGUC
rnacentral:rRNA from 1 species